GCCCCUUACGGAACUCCCAGACUGGUCAUACGCGGAUGGUCGCCCUGCUCCCCCAAUGAAAGGCCAGCUUCGGAGACAAGCUGAAAGGGAGAAGUUUGCAAGACGAGUUGUACUGCUGUCACAGGAAAUGGAUGCUGGAUUACAGGCAUGGCAGCUCAGGCAGCAGGAGAAGUUGCAGGAAGAAGAAAGGAAGCAGAAAAAUGCUCUUAAACCCAAAGGGGCUUCACUGAGGAGCCCACUUCCAACUCAAUAAAAAGUAACUCUUGCCACCUUUUCCCA